rnacentral:rRNA from 1 species
GACGAACGCUGGCGGCGUGCUUAACACAUGCAAGUCGAACGGAAAGGCCCUGCUUUUGUGGGGUGCUCGAGUGGCGAACGGGUGAGUAACACGUGAGUAACCUGCCCUUGACUUUGGGAUAACUUCAGGAAACUGGGGCUAAUACCGGAUAGGAGCUCCUGCUGCAUGGUGGGGGUUGGAAAGUUUCGGCGGUUGGGGAUGGACUCGCGGCUUAUCAGCUUGUUGGUGGGGUAGUGGCUUACCAAGGCUUUGACGGGUAGCCGGCCUGAGGGGGUGACCGGCCACAUUGGGACUGAGAUACGGCCCAGAUUCCUACGGGAGGCAGCAGUGGGGAAUAUUGCACAAUGGGCGGAAGCCUGAUGCAGCAACGCCGCGUGCGGGAUGACGGCCUUCGGGUUGUAAACCGCUUUCGCCUGUGACGAAGCGUGAGUGACGGUAAUGGGUAAAGAAGCACCGGCUAACUACGUG